CUUUUUUUUUUUUUUUUUUUUUUUGAGACAGAGUCUCGCUCUGUCGCCGCCAGGCUGGAAUGAGGGAGUGAGUGCAGCGGCGCGAUGUCAGCUCACUACAACCUCCGGCUCCUGGGUUCAAGGGACUCUUCUGCCUCAGCUUCCCUAGUAGCUGGGACUACAGGGGCACACCACUACAUCCGGCUAAUUUUUGUAUUUUUAGUAGAGACGGGGUUACACAGUGUUGGCCAGGAUGGUCUCGAUCUCCUGACCUCAUGAUCCACCCGCCUUGGCCUCCCAAAGUGCUGGGACUACAGGCGUGAGCCACCGUGCCUGGCCUGUGUUCGUCUUUAACAUUGUUUACGUUGAAGAUGCAUUGGUUUUUGCUUAUUCUUAAAGAAAAGAUUCAGGAUUGUGAAUUUGUGACUGCAGCUUUAGGCGUAUCCCAAGGUUUUCAGUACUAGUUUAGUUUUUGUUGUUUUUGUUUCUAAUUAUCCUUUUGGCAUUUCCUUAUCAAUAUAAGACUUUUUAAAAUUCAAGUGUUUUGAUUCAUUUUAUCCAAUUUUUGGUUACUAAUUUCUUGGUUUCUUUGUGUUGUGGUCACAUCAUGUGGCUUUUACACACAUUUUCUCUGUUUUGGGGAUUUGCUUACUUUUUUUUGUAGUCGUGCAAGAUUUUUUGUGAAAAGAAAAACUGUAUCAAGUUCAUCACCUUUAUCAAUUUGACCUGUGCCGUGAACUUCUUUAGAUUCAUUUGAUUCAAAUGGAUCUAAGUAUUUUAAACAUUUAGAAUACUAAUUUAAGCAAGGCUUGAAAAUUAAAUGGAGUAAAAGCAAUAAAAAAAAUCAAUAUUAGCCUGGGCAUUGGUGGCUCAUGCCAGUAAUGCCAGUACUUUGGGAUGCCAAAGCAGGAAGAUCUCUUGAGCUUAGGAGAUUGAGAUCAGGUUGGGCAAAAACAUGAAAAGACUAAAUCACAUCUCUAGCAGGAAAAAAAAAAAUCCAGAUAUGAUAGCUCAUGACUAUAGUCACAGCUACCCCAGAGGCUGAGGUAGAAGGCCAAGAAGUUUGAGGCUGUGGUGAUGGUGAGCUAUGGAGGUACCACUGUGCUCCAACCUGUGUGACAGAGUGAGACUCUCUUUUCUUUCAAAAAAAAGGAAGAAAGGAAAAUCAAUGUUAGUCUGUCAAUACAUUUUCUUAUUGUUUUAAAACUGUAUUUGGAAAGUUUCAAAAUGCAUUUGGACUGCAUUGUUCUAAAGGCAAGUUAGAAAUCCAAAUAUCUUUUGCACAGUUAUUUCACCAUUAAUUCUUACUAGUUUUGGUUGUAUGAUGGGAGAUAGACGUAUAAAAAUAACUUAUUUAAAAUGUCAGUGGAUUUUUUUGUAAUGGACAUUCCUGGAUGAUAGGUGAAAUUUGAACAUGAACUGUUUGUUAGAUAAUAGUAUUGUCUCAAUGGUAAAUAUUCUGAAUACAAUUGUUUUGUGAUUGUGCAAAUGUUUUCUUUCUUAGAAGACAAGUAUUGAUGUGUUAGGUAACAAGCUUGUGAUGUAGUAAUGACCUGUCAAAAUGUUCAGGAAGGAAAAUAAUACAUAAGUAUAUAUAAAAA
rnacentral:lncRNA from 1 species